rnacentral:rRNA from 1 species
GAUGAACGCUGGCGGCGUGCCUAAUACAUGCAAGUCGAGCGAACGGACGAGAAGCUUGCUUCUCUGAUGUUAGCGGCGGACGGGUGAGUAACACGUGGAUAACCUACCUAUAAGACUGGGAUAACUUCGGGAAACCGUAGCUAAUACCGGAUAAUAUUUUGAACCGCAUGGUUCAAAAGUGAAAGACGGUCUUGCUGUCACUUAUAGAUGGAUCCGCGCUGCAUUAGCUAGUUGGUAAGGUAACGGCUUACCAAGGCAACGAUGCAUAGCCGACCUGAGAGGGUGAUCGGCCACACUGGAACUGAGCCACGGUCCAGACUCCUACGGGAGGCAGCAGUAGGGAAUCUUCCGCAAUGGGCGAAAGCCUGACGGAGCAACGCCGCGUGAGUGAUGAAGGUCUUCGGAUCGUAAAACUCUGUUAUUAGGGAAGAACAUAUGUGUAAGUAACUGUGCACAUCUUGACGGUACCUAAUCAGAAAGCCCCGGCUAACUACGUG